AUAACGGCCCAAUCCCAGUACUAAAUAUUUUUUGUGCAGUUAGUCAGCAUUUACAUUGAGGAGCCAACAUUUCAUCCUUCGCACUGAAUAAUACUAUAAGUUUGACAUUUCAUCAGCUCCACUAUUCCCUAGAUUGUUUGAGCUAAGAUCUCAAUUUCCGGCAAAGUCAUCCUGCACAUUUGCGACGCAUUUUCGUGUCACAAAUAAGAAAGAAGUGGCCGAAACGUCGACAGCAUUUUACACCACACCCUGCAGCCAAGCGUCAUCAAACGCCAAAUUGCCUCUAAAAUCCCCGGAAAUUAGUAAAUGAGGACCUCCGUAAUUAAUUAGCAGGCCCGGCUAUAUGUGGAGACCGGCUCUAAUUGGAAUAGGGCUAUAAAUAGAGGUUUUACGGUAUACAGAGCAAUAACAUUUAUUCUGGCGUCGUAGAUACGUAUUUGCG